UCUAAACCCCUCGCUAAGUCUAAAACCCUCGUCUCUCUCCCUCCCCUCUCUCUCUCUCUCUCCAAUCUCUCUCGCUCUCAAUGGCAUGGCGUGGGUCGCUCACCAGAGCCCUAGUCUCCACCGCCCGAUCUCCCUCUCUCCGUCCAUCUCCAUCUCUCCCUCGCCUCCGCCCGCCGCCUCUCUCCUCUCCCCGCCGCCGCAUCUCCUUCACUAACCCCAGGAAUUUGGGUGAGCUCGGAUGUGCACAGUCAUUGUUACCGAUGUUAGCUGGAACUCGACUCGGUUCGCAUCUCAGUGUCAAUGUUCGGGCGUUUUGCGAGCUGACUCACGGUACCAUUUGUUGUUCUUGUCAAGAUCGCUAGUAGUCGAUUUGAUUGAAUGGAAAAGAUGGGUGAUGGGCAGCAAUCUCAAUCAUCAAGGCAAUGUAAAGAUGCUGCGAUGAAGGCACCUGAAUAUUUGAUUACAACAGCUGGAUCCUUGAUCUUUUGAGAUAGUCAUAGCAAGUAGGUGGUUCAUGCGGAGCCUUUUUUUCCAGAUUAAAACAAUUUAAACGACUACUGUUUUUUAUUUGCACAUAAGACAUUGAAUCUACUAAAAUUGUUUGAGAUGCUUGUGUGCAUUUUCAAUGGUGGUAAAUCCUUAACGUAUGUUGAAGAUCAAUGUUUUGUAAUAAUCUCCAUUAAUCAUCAUGGAACUAUUUGGUAGAUGCCGAAAUUUUUAGUGGGCAGAGGUACCACUACCGGCACCAUUUUAUAUAUGCAUAAGUUAAUUUGUUUUA